rnacentral:rRNA from 1 species
CCUAAGUCGGAUUAGCUAGAUGGUGGGUAAAGGCCUACCAUGGCGACGAUCCGUAGCUGGUUUGAGAGGAUGAUCAGCCACACCGGGACUGAGACCCGGCCCGGAUUCCUACGGGAGGCAGCAGUGGGGAAUAUUGGACAAUGGGGGCAACCCUGAUCCAGCCAUGCCGCGUGUGUGAAGAAGGCCUUUUGGUUGUAAAGCACUUUAAGCAGUGAAGAAGACUCCCAUGGUUAAUACCCAUGGACGAUGACAUUAGCUGCAGAAUAAGCACCGGCUAACUCUGUGCCAGCAGCCGCGGUAAUACAGAGGGUGCAAGCGUUAAUCGGAAUUACUGGGCGUAAAGCGAGCGUAGGUGGCUUGAUAAGUCAGAUGUGAAAGCCCCGGGCUUAACCUGGGAACGGCAUCUGAUACUGUUAGGCUAGAGUAGGUGAGAGGAAGGUAGAAUUCCAGGUGUAGCGGUGAAAUGCGUAGAGAUCUGGAGGAAUACCGAUGGCGAAGGCAGCCUUCUGGCAUCAUACUGACACUGAGGUUCGAAAGCGUGGGUAGCAAACAGGAUUAGAUACCCUGGUAGUCCACGCCGUAAACGAUGUCUACUAGUCGUUGGGUCCCUUGAGGACUUAGUGACGCAGCUAACGCAAUAAGUAGACCGCCUGGGGAGUACGGCCGCAAGGUUAAAACUCAAAUGAAUUGACGGGGGCCCGCACAAGCGGUGGAGCAUGUGGUUUAAUUCGAUGCAACGCGAAGAACCUUACCUGGUCUUGACAUAUCUAGAAUCCUGCAGAGAUGCGGGAGUGCCUUCGGGAAUUAGAAUACAGGUGCUGCAUGGCUGUCGUCAGCUCGUGUCGUGAGAUGUUGGGUUAAGUCCCGCAACGAGCGCAACCCUUGUCCUUAGUUGCCAGCGGUUUGGCCGGGAACUCUAAGGAUACUGCCAGUGACAAACUGGAGGAAGGCGGGGACGACGUCAAGUCAUCAUGGCCCUUACGACCAGGGCUACACACGUGCUACAAUGGUAGGUACAGAGGGCAGCUACACAGCGAUGUGAUGCGAAUCUCAAAAAGCCUAUCGUAGUCCAGAUUGGAGUCUGCAACUCGACUCCAUGAAGUAGGAAUCGCUAGUAAUCGCGGAUCAGAAUGCCGCGGUGAAUACGUUCCCGGGCCUUGUACACACCGCCCGUCACACCAUGGGAGUUGAUUGCACCAGAAGUGGUUAGCCUAACCUUUAGGAAGGCGAUCACC